rnacentral:tRNA from 3 species
GCGGGUGUUGUAUAAUGGCUAUUACAUCAGGUUUCCAACCUGAGGACGAGGGUUCGAUUCCCUUCACCCGCUCAA